GAAAAAGAGCUCUUUAUUAAAACACUAAGUAUAAAAUAGAUAUCUCCAGGCAGAGGGUACUAAAAGCUAAGGCCGUAAGUCACCUCCCAUGAAAAGACAUUGUCAUUUCAUCUUUAUAUGUCCUGAUUGGAACCCUCCACGCACAUACAACAAGGGAUCUCAAGCAACUGCUGCAGAUCUAUAUAAGAUUUCAGGCAGAAGUAAGAGACAUAUUGGAAACAUCCUGGAUCACUGAGCAACCAAUUUGUAGAAGAAAUGGAAGCAGAAAAGGUCAAGAUUCUUCGGCAGCAGAAACUGGUGGACAUUCUGUCAUGCACCAUUAACGGUAUUCAUUUUUAAUGACAAUUUCUCUGUCUCUCUGUUUUCAAUUUCAAGUUCUAGAGCAAGAAGAGCUAAUUGUCCAAACUGAGAUAACACGUGUGCUGAAUGUUUUCUGUUUUCUUUUCCAGAUCCAUUCUCUAUUCUCCUCCAUCCUCUCCCAUGCCCCAGGGAGGUCAACCUGUAUGGACUGAAUCACGGGUCUCUUGUCCUCUUACUUGCAGUUGGGUUCGGCUGAUGGAAAGCACUGUGGGAGAC
ensembl:lncRNA